AGAGUUUGAUCAUGGCUCAGGACGAACGCUGGCGGCGUGCUUAACACAUGCAAGUCGAGCGGUAAGGCCCUUUGGGGUACACGAGCGGCGAACGGGUGAGUAACACGUGGGUGACCUGCCCCCUACUCUGGGAUAAGCCUGGGAAACUGGGUCUAAUACCGGAUAUGACACAGUCUCGCAUGGGGUUGUGUGGAAAGUUUGUUCUUAAUUGGACAGUUCGGUGGGGGAUGGGCCCGCGGCCUAUCAGCUUGUUGGUGGGGUGAUGGCCUACCAAGGCGACGACGGGUAGCCGGCCUGAGAGGGCGACCGGCCACACUGGGACUGAGACACGGCCCAGACUCCUACGGGAGGCAGCAGUGGGGAAUAUUGCGCAAUGGGCGGAAGCCUGACGCAGCGACGCCGCGUGGGGGAUGACGGCCUUCGGGUUGUAAACCUCUUUCGGCCCCGACGAAGCGUGAGUGACGGUAGGGGUAGAAGAAGCACCGGCCAACUACGUGCCAGCAGCCGCGGUAAUACGUAGGGUGCGAGCGUUGUCCGGAAUUAUUGGGCGUAAAGAGCUCGUAGGCGGUGUGUCGCGUCGGCCGUGAAAACCUGCAGCUUAACUGUGGGCUUGCGGUCGAUACGGGCAUCACUGGAGUUCGGCAGGGGAGACUGGAAUUCCUGGUGUAGCGGUGAAAUGCGCAGAUAUCAGGAGGAACACCGGUGGCGAAGGCGGGUCUCUGGGCCGAUACUGACGCUGAGGAGCGAAAGCGUGGGGAGCGAACAGGAUUAGAUACCCUAGUAGUCC
rnacentral:rRNA from 1 species